AGCAUAGGCUACACUGGGUGUGUUUGAUUUGGGUCAUGUGGCUUGCUGGCCAGCAGGUGGUGCAUCGGUGAUUAAAUGAAGGUCAGGCGAGGACACCAGAACUGUGCCAUUCUUGCUCCCAUUAUGGCACCUCUUUCCCACCACAACAGUGUCCCCCGGGUCCGAAAUGAGGUGACACAUUUUUAAGCCAGUUUUACAGCACCCAUAAAGGUGGCAUCUCCAUAUAGGGACACGUUGGCUGUGGAACGAGGGAUCAGUAGCUCCAAGUGGUCCCCGACCUCCAGCUUCACAAUACCUGAGGGAUGCAAAUGUAAUGUUGUUUUUUUCUUGCCAAAAACAGCUAUCAGCCAUACCCUACUAUUGACAGACAUAUGGAGCCAAUCCACACACACGUGCUUGAGAGCUUGACUGAAAAACACUGACUGGCCUUCCAUAACAGCUGUUGCAAAAUAGGGGGAACGUAGCUCGACAUAAACAAUAACUCAGACUCACCUCCUGUGUAGCAGGUGUUGUAAGGGUGAACGGGGUUCAUAUUCUGGAUGCAGCGGAACAAGACCACAUACUGAGGCUCGUCUCCCACCACAUUCCUCUUCCUCCGGAUCACCACGUGACCCAUUGCAAAGGUGCUGUCCAUGUAGUAGACCUGAGCACAUCAGAAAUACCGGGUUAUGGUGGUAUGGUAUGAUGCAUGGGUGUUAACAUGUACAAACAGUCAGUUGCGGAUGUCCUGACUCAUUGUCUCUCACCUGGCCUGCAUGCUUGGCCUCUCGGCCCUCUUCUCUCCUGCGACAAACCUCUGAUUUGAGCCCCUCUACCUCAGCUCUGAGGGCCACCAGUUGGUACAGGGACAAAGCUGAAAGAGAAGAGGAGGUGACAGCAGCUAGCGUCAGCAGGAAAACUGGCCAGGACAGCCUCCCUUCACCUGUCUUUUUUCCAGUCCCAGGCUCCACACAAUCCAUCGCAGGGCCCAUACAAUCUCCAGAAAGCUCACACUGGCAGCAUGACAAGUCUUAAGCUUGAACUACGCUGCCUCUCUUCUGACAGACUGGGGCUAGCAAUGGUUGAUGUUUGCUUCUGUCAUCAAUGGUGUCUAUAAAGCCUCUAGUGUUACCUUAAUGUCUAUCUAAAAGCUCCACUGACUUCCCUAACUCUCGCUUUGUCCUUCAGUAGACGGUUCCAGUCGAGUCUGAGUGACUACGCAGAUUAGAUACUGUACAAAAAAGGGCAAAACAGCUUCCCCUCUACGGUUACACUCAGCUAACCACACCAAGCUUCCUGCCUGACCAGAAGCCUUGACAAAUCUCUCUCCCCUUUCUCUUCAUCUUGCUCCCUCAAAAUGAUAGAACACAUCUCAGCUUAUCCACAUUCUAAGAAAUAACCCAUGUGAUCGUUGCAGAGCGAAAACAGGAAAGACAGGUUGGCAGUUAGAUAAGUGACAGUGAAUGUCA